rnacentral:rRNA from 1 species
CCUACGGGUCGCAGCAGUGGGGAAUAUUGGACAAUGGGCGAAAGCCUGAUCCAGCCAUGCCGCGUGUGUGAAGAAGGCCUUCGGGUUGUAAAGCACUUUCAGUGGGGAAGAAAGCCUUGGGGCUAAUACCCUCGAGGAAGGACAUCACCCACAGAAGAAGCACCGGCUAACUCCGUGCCAGCAGCCGCGGUAAUACGGAGGGUGCGAGCGUUAAUCGGAAUUACUGGGCGUAAAGCGCGCGUAGGCGGUCUGAUAAGCCGGUUGUGAAAGCCCCGGGCUCAACCUGGGAACGGCAUCCGGAACGGUCAGGCUAGAGUGCAGGAGAGGAAGGUAGAAUUCCCGGUGUAGCGGUGAAAUGCGUAGAGAUCGGGAGGAAUACCAGUGGCGAAGGCGGCCUUCUGGACUGACACUGACGCUGAGGUGCGAAAGCGUGGGUAGCAAACAGGAUUAGAUACCCUAGUAGUC